UGCUCCGGAACCCCAGGCUGGGCCACGUGGCUGCGUUCUGUCCCAGCUGGCGGGCUUUGGGCUCUGAAGGGAGAGAGUAAGAAGGUCUCAACUUGGACCAGCUGAGGCUUGACCGCCGACCUCUCGCCCUCUACACACGGAAAAAUAUAUUCAUUCUCCUUCCAGAAAAGAGUGACACCCAAAAGUCUCAACCCAUCAUGACUUCAGGGUCAAAGUAUUGUAUCUCAUGAUAAUUUCUGCGUUUUGUUCAGAUAGGACUCCUCUUGAAACAGAGACUAAUGAACUUAAAAAAAAAACAAAUGUUUUCCACUGCUGCCCACAUCUAUACUAAUAUGAAGUAAUUGAACAAGGCCGGGAUGAACAUUUUCAUUCAUCAAAAGAAAGAAUGGAAGGCAUACAACCAUCGCUGGUUCUUGGAAUUUGGAAAUCCUGCUGAACAUUCCAGUUCAUCUCCUUGGCCACAGGAAUUCGUUCAGGAAUGGAUCCCUGACCCAAGCUGAACCAAUGAAAGUUUCCUACCUCCUUGUGAGAAGUUACUUUGCUUUCUUGGGAGAAAGUCACGGGAAGAGGUAGCCUCUCUCCCCUGCGCCCCCCGCCCCCCCCGCCCCUGCCGCCACCUCUCAAUGUGAGCAUGAAAGUAUAUAGCUCUGAUUGUUGAUAGCCACAUUCUGAACCAUGAAGGAAGCCAGCCUGAGGAUGAAGUUCACACUGUAAAUGGCAGGGCAGAAGAAUAGGGACAGCCUGGGUCCUUGAUAACAUUAUUGAGCUUCUGGAUCAGCCAGCCCUGGGCACUUACUAUUAUAUGUACCAAUAUAUCCUUUUAGUUUAACAUGGUUUCAACCAUAUUGCUGUUACUGGCAAUUAAAGCAUCCUACUUUUUUCUUUUCUCUCUAGGGCCACACCUGCGGCAUAUGGAAG